CAGGUCUCACCUCCCGUGUCAUGUGCAUGUGUUUGUGACAUCGUUAUUGUGUAAAUAAGCAUGCUUAAUACCUGGUAAUUGUCUUUAAGAAUGUGAUCAUGGACCAUGAGAUCCAUAACAGAUGGGAUAAAGUGUACCCAAGCAGCACAGAACCAGCCACAAAAAUGUUUUUGAAAGACUUAAAAGGUUGCAGGAGACUAAAUAACAUUUUCCGCUAAAUUACAGGUCAACAAAUGCAAGUUGUUUCCUUGCAAAUCUGCCUAGUAAGCCAC